rnacentral:rRNA from 1 species
CGACUUGGAGGUUGUUCCCUUGAGGAGUGGCUUCCGGAGCUAACGCGUUAAGUCGACCGCCUGGGGAGUACGGCCGCAAGGUUAAAACUCGAAUGAAUUGACGGGGGCCCGCACAAGCGGUGGAGCAUGUGGUUUAAUUCGAUGCAACGCGAAGAACCUUACCUACUCUUGACAUCCAGAGAACUUAGCAGAGAUGCUUUGGUGCCUUCGGGAGCUCUGAGACAGGUGCUGCAUGGCUGUCGUCAGCUCGUGUUGUGAAAUGUUGGGUUAAGUCCCGCAACGAGCGCAACCCUUAUCCUUUGUUGCCAGCGAUUCGGUCGGGAACUCAAAGGAGACUGCCGGUGAUAAACCGGAGGAAGGUGGGGAUGACGUCAAGUCAUCAUGGCCCUUACGAGUAGGGCUACACACGUGCUACAAUGGCGCAUACAAAGAGAAGCGACCUCGCGAGAGCAAGCGGACCUCAUAAAGUGCGUCGUAGUCCGGAUCGGAGUCUGCAACUCGACUCCGUGAAGUCGGAAUCGCUAGUAAUCGUGGAUCAGAAUGCCACGGUGAAUACGUUCCCGGGCCUUGUACACACCGCCCGUCACACCAUGGGAGUGGGUUGCAAAAGAAGUAGGUAGCUUAACCUUCGGGAGGGCGCUUACCACUUUGUGAUUCAUGACUGGGGUGAAGUC